AGAGUUUGAUCAUGGCUCAGAAUCAACGCUGGCGGCGUGCCUAACACAUGCAAGUCGAACGCGAAAGGGGCUUCGGCCCUGAGUAGAGUGGCGAACGGGUGAGUAACGCGUGGGUGACCUACCUUCGAGUGGGGGAUAACGUUCCGAAAGGGACGCUAAUACCGCAUAACAUCCUGUUUUUGAACAGGCGGAGAUCAAAGCCGGGGACCGCAAGGCCUGGCGCUUGGAGAGGGGCCCGCGUCCGAUUAGCUAGUUGGUGGGGUAAUGGCUCACCAAGGCAACGAUCGGUAGCCGGCCUGAGAGGGCGGACGGCCACACUGGGACUGAGACACGGCCCAGACUCCUACGGGAGGCAGCAGUGGGGAAUUGUUCGCAAUGGGCGCAAGCCUGACGACGCAACGCCGCGUGGAGGAUGAAGGUCUUCGGAUUGUAAACUCCUGUUGACCGGGACGAAUGAUUCACGACCUAAUACGUCGUGGAAAUGACGGUACCGGUUGAGGAAGCCCCGGCUAACUCUGUGCCAGCAGCCGCGGUA
rnacentral:rRNA from 1 species